rnacentral:rRNA from 1 species
GACGAACGCUGGCGGCGUGCUUAACACAUGCAAGUCGAACGGAAAGGCCCUGCUUUUGUGGGGUGCUCGAGUGGCGAACGGGUGAGUAACACGUGAGUAACCUGCCCUUGACUUUGGGAUAACUUCAGGAAACUGGGGCUAAUACCGGAUAGGAGCUCCUGCUGCAUGGUGGGGGUUGGAAAGUUUCGGCGGUUGGGGAUGGACUCGCGGCUUAUCAGCUUGUUGGUGGGGUAGUGGCUUACCAAGGCUUUGACGGGUAGCCGGCCUGAGAGGGUGACCGGCAACAUUGGGACUGAGAUACGGCCCAGAAUCCUACGGGAGGCAGCAGUGGGGAAUAUUGCACAAUGGGCGGAAGCCUGAUGCAGCAACGCCGCGUGCGGGAUGACGGCCUUCGGGUUGUAAACCGCUUUCGCCUGUGACGAAGCGUGAGUGACGGUAAUGGGUAAAGAAGCACCGGCUAACUACGUG